AUCUUUUUUGGUUCGUAAGUGUGAUGACUGGGUUUUCACACUGCUGUGUGAUAUGUCCCUCCCUCUAAACCUUGUUACGAUGUUGGCAUAUUACCCAUCUGACA